rnacentral:rRNA from 1 species
UACGGGGGGGGCAAGCGUUGUCCGGAAUCACUGGGCGUAAAGGGCGCGUAGGCGGCCCGGUAAGUCGGGGGUGAAAUCCUGCGGCUUAACCGCAGGGCUGCCUUCUAAACUGUCGGGCUCGAGCACGGUAGAGGCAGAUGGAAUUCCCGGUGUAGCGGUGGAAUGCGUAGAGAUCGGGAAGAACAUCAGUGGCGAAGGCGGUCUGCUGGGCCGUUGCUGACGCUGAGGCGCGACAGCGUGGGGAGCAAACAGG